rnacentral:tRNA from 1 species
GCGCCUGUAGCUCAACUGGACAGAGCGUCUGACUUCGGAUCAGAGGGUUGGGGGUUCGAAUCCCUCCAGGCGUGC